rnacentral:rRNA from 1 species
GUAAGGAAUAUUGGUCAAUGGACGCAAGUCUGAACCAGCCAUGCCGCGUGAAGGAUGAAGGCCCUCUGGGUUGUAAACUUCUUUUAUCUGGGACGAAAAAAGGGGAUUCUUCCUCACUUGACGGUACCAGAGGAAUAAGCACCGGCUAACUCCGUGCCAGCAGCCGCGGUAAUACGGAGGGUGCAAGCGUUAUCCGGAUUUACUGGGUUUAAAGGGUGCGUAGGUGGGUAGGUAAGUCAGUGGUGAAAUCUUCGAGCUUAACUCGGAAACUGCCAUUGAUACUAUUUAUCUUGAAUACUUUGGAGGUAAGCGGAAUAUGUCAUGUAGCGGUGAAAUGCUUAGAUAUGACAUAGAACACCAAUUGCGAAGGCAGCUUACUACACAGUUAUUGACACUGAGGCACGAAAGCGUGGGGAUCAAACAGGAUUAGAUACCCCAGUAGUCC